UACGUAGGUGACCAGCGUUGUCCGGAUUUAUUGGGCGUAAAGCGCGCGUAGGCGGUCACCUAAGUCGGAUGUGAAAGCCCCUGGCUCAACUGGGGAAGUGCACCCGAAACUGAGUGGCUUGAGUACGAAAGAGGGUCGCGGAAUUCCCGGUGUAGAGGUGAAAUUCGUAGAUAUCGGGAGGAACACCGGUGGCGAAGGCGGCGACCUGGGUCGAGACUGACGCUGAGGCGCGAAAGCGUGGGGAGCAAACAGG
rnacentral:rRNA from 1 species